AUUUUCUUGAUUGUAUUCACUAUAUUGGCUUUAAUAGGAGGAGAAAUUGAAAAUUCGGCAAGGACUCCAUUUUAUGCAACUUCAUUCUACAUCAGAAGCCCGCUGAAUGUUCUGGAAAAAAUGAAGUUAUUGUGUUUGAUGAAGAAAUUAGGAGGCUCUCCUAUUACAGUUACUUGUAUGGGUUUCUUUGCUGUUAACAAAAUUUUCAUCUGCAGGGCUUACAAGGCUCUCUUCUCUACCUUCACCACAAUGCUAGAAAUCCAGAAUUCUGAUGAGGGGAUUUCUGGAUUUUUCUGUCUUAAUGACACAACGAACAUAUGGAAAGAGUUCAUUUAAAUGAUGAAUACAUAAAAUAAAUGCUGAUGAAUUAUAAUUAUUAAUCAAUAUAUUUUCAUAUAUAUUGUAUAUGUGAUAUUUCGACAGAGUGAGCA
rnacentral:lncRNA from 1 species